AAUUCGAUCGAUUGGUACGAGGGACCACGUGGCCAGGGGCUGGCCAAUGACCAGGCCGCCCGGGAUGAGCUAAUAAUGGAAGCAAUUUGUAACUUUCAGUAGCUCUCUAGGCCUGGGUACCGGAGGGAGGGAGGCGGGCAGAGGAGGGGAGAUGGGCACCCCCAGUCUUUCCAUCCUCCUCAUUCGUCUAGGGGCACCCGAAUCCACUAUUCCUUAUUUCCCCUAUCACUCAGGCACUGGCAGGGUCCUUUGCCCACUCCUGUUGGCCGCCGCGGCUCCAAAGCGAGCUGGGCAGAUGUGCCUGAGACAGGUUUGACCAGGCAACUGAAAAGACAUCCCUAAGGGAAGACAAAGCAAAGGUAUGAAAGGAACACAUGUCCCUGACUGACUAGGAGGAACAGAGCUGCCUGCUGUCUGGAACCGCUUCCUCCCAGACUAAGGUUUCCCAGAGGAAGAGAGAGAAUUUGGACAAAUGAAUGAGGGACAACGCUCUCCUGAGGGUUUUCUUUAAGGGGCGAGGAUCACUGCCGCUAGCUCCUUUGAAAGCAGAAUUAAGAGGCAGUGCAGGAAGGCACAGCAGGAAGGCUCAUGGUUAGACCACAGAGAAGGAAGCAGCCACUGCUGGGGACCUACCCUGUGCUGGUCACUGACAAGCUGUCUCAUUAAACCUUCCCAGACCCUCAA